rnacentral:rRNA from 1 species
GGGGGUGGGAGAGGCCGGGGGUACUCCCGAGGUAGGGGCGAAAUCCGAUAAUCUCGGGAGGACCACCAGUGGCGGAAGCGCCCGGCUGGAACACGCCCGACGGUGAGGGCGAAAGCUGGGGGAGCAAGGGGGAUUAGAUACCCCUGUAGUCCCAGCUGUAAACGAUGCGGGCUAGCUGUUGGGCGGGCUUAGAGCCCGCCCAGUGGCGGAGGGAAGCCGUUAAGCCCGCCGCCUGGGGAGUACGGCCGCAAGGCUGAAACUUAAAGGAAUUGGCGGGGGGGCACCACAAGGGGUGAAGCUUGCGGCUUAAUUGGAGUCAACGCCGGAAACCUUACCCGGGGCGACAGCAGGAUGAUGGCCAGGCUAACGACCUUGCCGGACGAGCUGAGAGGAGGUGCAUGGCCGUCGCCAGCUCGUGCUGUGAAGUGUCCUGUUAAGUCAGGCAACGAGCGAGACCCUCGCCGCCAGUUGCUUCUUUGUGCCGAAAGGUACAAAGAGGAAACUGGCGGGACCGCCGCCGAUAAGGCGGAGGAAGGAGGGGGCUACGGCAGGUCAGUAUGCCCCGAAACCCCUGGGCCACACGCGGGCUGCGAUGGUGGGGACAAUGGGAUCCGAUCCCGAAAGGGGGAGGUAAUCCCGAAACCCCACCUCAGUUGGGAUCGAGGGCUGCAACCCGCCCUCGUGAACCUGGAAUCCCUAGUAAUCGCGGGUCACCAUCCCGCGGUGAAUACGUCCCCGCUACCUU